AUUGAACGCUGGCGGCAUGCUUUACACAUGCAAGUCGAACGGCAGCGCGGGCUUCGGCCUGGCGGCGAGUGGCGAACGGGUGAGUAAUACAUCGGAACGUGCCCAGUAGUGGGGAUAGCUCGGCGAAAGCCGGAUUAAUACCGCAUACGACCUGAGGGUGAAAGCGGGGGAUCUUCGGACCUCGCGCUAUUGGAGCGGCCGCUGGCAGAUUAGCUAGUUGGUGGGGUAAAGGCCUACCAAGGCGACGAUCUGUAGCUGGUCUGAGAGGACGACCAGCCACACGGGGACUGAGACACGGCCCAGACUCCUACGGGAGGCAGCAGUGGGGAAUUUUGGACAAUGGGCGAAAGCCUGAUCCAGCAAUGCCGCGUGUGUGAUGAAGGCCUUCGGGUUGUAAAGCACUUUUGGCGGGAACGAAAAGGACUGUGCCAAUACCACGGUUCGAUGACGGUACCCGCAGAAUAAGCACCGGCUAACUACGU
rnacentral:rRNA from 1 species